rnacentral:rRNA from 1 species
AAUAUUGGACCGUGGGCGAAAGCCUGAUCCAGCCAUGCCGCGUGUGUGAAGAAGGUCUUCGGCAUGUAAAAAACUUUAGGUAGGGAGGAAGGUGCGUUGAUUAAUACGCUGAAAUUUUGCCGUUACCGACAGAAUAAGCACCGCCUAACUUGCUGCCAGCCGCCGCGGUAAUAAGAAGGAUGCAAGUGUUAAUCGGCAUUACGGGGCGUAAAGCGGCCGUAGAUGGUGCGUUAAGUUGGAUGAGAAAGCACCGAGCUCAAACUUGGAACUGCGUCCAAAACAGGCGAGCUGGAGUAAGGUAGAGGGUAGGGGAAUUUCCUGUGAAGCGUGGAAGUAAGUAGAUAAAAGAAGGAAAACCAGUGGAGAAGGCGACCACCUGGACUGAUACUGACACUGAGGUGCGAAGGCAUGGGGAGCAAACAGG